UACGAAGGUGGCAAGCGUUACUCGGAAUUACUAGGCGUAAAGCGCAGGUAGGUGGUUUGGUAAGUCUGCUGUGGAAGCUCCCGGCUUAACUGGGAGAGGUCAGCAGAAACUGCCGGACUUGAGUGUGGGAGAGGGUAUUGGAAUUCCCGGUGUAGCGGUGAAAUGCGCAGAGAUCGGGAGGAACACCUAUGGCGAAAGCAGGUACCUGGACCAUUACUGACACUAAGCUGCGAAAGCUAGGGGAGCAAACAGG
rnacentral:rRNA from 1 species